rnacentral:rRNA from 1 species
GAUGAACGCUGGCGGCGUGCCUAAUACAUGCAAGUCGAGCGAAUGGAUUAAGAGCUUGCUCUUAUGAAGUUAGCGGCGGACGGGUGAGUAACACGUGGGUAACCUGCCCAUAAGACUGUGAUAACUCCGGGAAACCGGGGCUAAUACCGGAUAACAUUUUGAGCCGCAUGGUUCGAAAUUGAAAGGCGGCUUCGGCUGUCACUUAUGGAUGGACCCGCGUCGCAUUAGCUAGUUGGUGAGGUAACGGCUCACCAAGGCAACGAUGCGUAGCCGAGCUGGGAGGGUGGUCGGCCACACUGGGACUGAGACACGGCCCAGACUCCUACGGGAGGCAGCAGUAGGGAAUCUUCCGCAAUGGACGAAAGUCUGACGGAGCAACGCCGCGUGAGUGAUGAAGGCUUUCGGGUCGUAAAACUCUGUUGUUAGGGAAGAACAAGUGCUAGUUGAAUAAGCUGACACCUUGACGGUACCUAACCAGAAAGCCACGGCUAACUACGUGCCAGCCGCCGCGGUAA